CCUGAUGCAGCAACGCCGCGUGCGGGAAGAAGGCCUUCGGGUUGUAAACCGCUUUCAGCAGGAACGAAACUGACGGUACCUGCAGAAGAAGGUGCGGCCAACUACGUGCCAGCAGCCGCGGUGACACGUAGGCACCAAGCGUUGUCCGGAUUUAUUGGGCGUAAAGAGCUCGUAGGCGGUUCAGUAAGUCGGGUGUGAAAACUUUGGGCUUAACCCAGAGCCUGCAUCCGAUACUGCUGUGACUUGAGUUCGGUAGGGGAGCGGGGAAUUCCUAGUGUAGCGGUGAAAUGCGCAGAUAUUAGGAGGAACACCGGUGGCGAAGGCGCUGCUCUGGGCCGAAACUGACGCUGAGGAGCGAAAGCGUGGGUAGCAAACAGGAUUAAAACCCCUGGUAGUCCACGCCGUAAACAUUGGGGACUAGGGGUGGGGAUCAACCAACGGAAUCGGCGCCGUCGCUAAAGCAUUAAUUGCCCCGCCUGGGGAGUACGGCGGCAAGGUUA
rnacentral:rRNA from 1 species